CCGUAACACAAGCCGGGACUAAAGGGUCCUGCUCAACGGCUGCCUGUCAGGGUUGUCGGGGCAGGGACCCUUUAGUCCCGGCUCGUGUUACGGU
rfam:Sorghum bicolor cultivar BTx623 chromosome 10, whole genome shotgun sequence.